UUACGGCCAUAUCACGUUUAAACACUAGCUCUUGUACGAUCACCAAAGUGAAGCAACGUCGAGCCUGGUCAAUACCUGCUUGGACGACCGCUUGGGAAUACCAGGUGUUGUAAG